AGAAUCAACGCUGGCGGCGUGCCUAACACAUGCAAGUCGCACGAGAAAGGGACUUCGGUCCUGAGUAAAGUGGCGCACGGGUGAGUAACACGUGAAUCAUCUACCUCCGAGUGGGGAAUAAACCUAGAGAAAUCUGGGCUAAUACCGCAUAACACUUACGAGUCAAAGCAGCAAUGCGCUUGGAGAGGAGUUCGCGGCAGAUUAGUUAGUUGGCGGGGUAAUGGCCCACCAAGACGAUGAUCUGUAUCCGGCCUGAGAGGGCGCACGGACACACUGGAACUGAAACACGGUCCAGACUCCUACGGGAGGCAGCAGUGGGGAAUUUUGCGCAAUGGGGGAAACCCUGACGCAGCAACGCCGCGUGGAGGAUGAAAUAUCUUGGUAUGUAAACUCCUUUCGAUGGGGAAGAUAAUGACGGUACCCAUAGAAGAAGCCCCGGCUAACUUCGUGCCAGCAGCCGC
rnacentral:rRNA from 1 species